CCUACGGGAGGCAGCAGUAGGGAAUCUUGGACAAUGGGCGCAAGCCUGAUCCAGCCAUGCCGCGUGAGUGAAGAAGGCCUUAGGGUCGUAAAGCUCUUUCGCCUGUGAUGAUAAUGACAGUAGCAGGUAAAGAAACCCCGGCUAACUCCGUGCCAGCAGCCGCGGUAAUACGGAGGGGGUCAGCGUUGUUCGGAAUUACUGGGCGUAAAGCGCGCGUAGGCGGAUUGGAAAGUUAGAGGUGAAAUCCCGGGGCUCAACCCCGGAACGGCCUUUAAAACUCCCAGUCUAGAGUUCGAGAGAGGUGAGUGGAAUUCCAAGUGUAGAGGUGAAAUUCGUAGAUAUUUGGAGGAACACCAGUGGCGAAGGCGGCUCACUGGCUCGAUACUGACGCUGAGGUGCGAAAGUGUGGGGAGCAAACAGGAUUAGAUACCCUGGUAGUCCACACCGUAAACGAUGAAUGCCAGUCGUCGGAUAGUAUACUAUUCGGUGACACACCUAACGGAUUAAGCAUUCCGCCUGGGGAGUACGGUCGCAAGAUUAAAACUCAAAGGAAUUGACGG
rnacentral:rRNA from 1 species